rnacentral:rRNA from 1 species
AUGUACAUCCUUACAACAUAACGUUAAUGCAGCAGAUCCCAUUAGAACACUGUAGUUAAGAGCGCUAAGGCUAAAGCAGUACUAGGAUGGAUGACCACCCAGGAAGUCCUAGUAUUUUACAUG